AACGCGAAGAACCUUACCUACCCUUGACAUCCUCGGAAUCUAGCAGAAACGUUGGAGUGCCUGAAAGGGAGCCGAGAGACAGGUGCUGCAUGGCUGUCGUCAGCUCGUGUCGUGAGAUGUUGGGUUAAGUCCCGUAACGAGCGCAACCCCUAUCUUUAGUUGCUAGCAGGUAAAGCUGAGAACUCUAGAGAGACUGCCGGUGAUAAGCCGGAGGAAGGUGGGGAUGACGUCAAGUCCUCAUGGCCCUUACGGGUAGGGCAACACACGUGCUACAAUGGGCGGUACAAAGGGAAGCGAAGCCGUGAGGUGAAGCGAAUCUCACUAAAGCCGCUCGUAGUCCGGAUUGGAGUCUGCAACUCGACUCCAUGAAGUUGGAAUCGCUAGUAAUCGCGGAUCAGAAUGUCGCGGUGAAUACGUUCCCGGGCCUUGUACACACCGCGUGUCU
rnacentral:rRNA from 1 species